AACUAAGUUUGUUAUUGGUAUGAGCUUUUGUGUGCAUGCGCAUGUAUCUGAAGAAGUGUGCAUGCACACGAAAGCUCAUACCAAUAACAAACUUAGUUGG